rnacentral:rRNA from 1 species
UACGAAGGGGCGAGCGUUGUUCGGAAUUACGUGGGCGUAAAGGGCGCGCAGGCGGCUCUGAAAGUCAAGAUGUGAAAGCCCCGGGCUUAACCUGGGAACUGCAUUGAUAACUCGUGGAGCUUGAGUACGGGAGAGGAUAGUGGAAUUCCAGUGUAGAGGUGAAAUUCGUAGAUAUUGGGAAGAACGACCGGUGGACGAAGGCGGCUAUCGUGGACCGUAACUGACGCUGAGCGCGGAAAGCGAUGGGUA